rnacentral:misc_RNA from 1 species
AUUUAUCCUAAUUAUAUAGGCUUUUUUGUACACACAAAAAAAAAGUGGAUUCCGAAUUGAACUAUGUAGAUUUUAAGAAGAUACAUUGGUAUCACAAAUAAUUCUGUUGAUAGAUUUCAUUGUUUAUCGAUGUGUAUAAGAGUUGUCCUGUUCAGUCAAGAAAACUUUAAUUUUAUUUGGAAACCAAAUAAUGCUGGCCAUUUUUUUUAUGCAGACAUGCAAUUGAAAAUUUUCAGUGCAUGAAAUAGGUAUGUGAAUUUCUCUAUUUUCACACAAAAUCUACAAGCAAACAAUACCAGGCCAUCAAAAUACAAAUAACAUGUAGGAUGUCAUUUUAUUUCUGUUUUGAAUAAAUACACACUUUCAUCUAUUGACAAUAUUGUGAACUAAUAAAUGUACACAAAUACUAAUUGGAUAUAAAAUGUUGAUAAACAAAUGAGUUCCAUUUACACCACACUAAUCUUAUUCAUUCUGUGACAUUACUUAUUGUUUUUUUAUACAAGUAAAUCUGUAAGUUUUUAUGGAUUGAAAUAAAUGUUCCAGAAAUGUUUAAGUUGACUAUAAUACUUGUACUAAUUUAAGUGAUGAAAGAAAUUUAAAAUAAAAGAGGCAAUGAAAUGUUUCUAG